rnacentral:misc_RNA from 1 species
UGUGAUUGAAGUGUCCGAAGUUUUAAACUUCAAAAUGAGAAAAAGAAUGAACAAAGAAACAGUUACCUCGUUUUUCCUAUUUUUUAACAUAUGUUGUUCUAUAUGUAUUGUACUCUUAAAUAAGUGGGUAUAUGUCCACGUAGGUUUCCCUAAUAUCGCUUUAACUUUUCUGCAUUUCGUUGUUACUUACAUCGGCUUGGAAGUAUGUAGAAGAUGCAGUGUUUUCGUAAAAAAGUCUGUGCAGGUUAAGGACAUUAUUUCGGUAGCUAUAACAUUUUGCGGGUUUGUGGUUUUUACGAAUCUUAGCUUGCAGCAUAACACUGUAGGUACUUUUCAAAUCGCUAAAUCAUUGACGACGCCUUUCAUCAUUAUCUUGCAAAUGAUGUUAUAUGGGAAAAAGUUUUCUGUGCGCGUGAAGUUGACGCUGAUUCCAAUAACAGUCGGUGUUUUCCUGAAUUUUUAUUAUGAUCUGCAGUUCAGUUUCUUAGGGACGGUGUACGCUUCUGUGGCUGUGGUUGUAACGUCAUUUUAUCAAGUGCUUGUCAGUAAAAAGCAGCAGGACUUGCAAGUGGAUCCUAUGCAACUUCUGUACUACCAAGCUCCAAUAUCAUCAUUGAUACUACUUAUACUUUUACCAUUCAUUGAACCAGUAGUGUUCACAAUAUCCCACAACUGGAGAACUGCAGAUGUUUGCAUGAUACUUGCAUCAUGUUUCAUUGCCUUUUUUGUAAACAUCUCAAUAUACUGGAUCAUUGGAAACACUUCACCACUGACAUACAACAUGGUUGGACACCUUAAAUUUUGUGUCACCAUGCUAGGUGGUGUACUGUUGUUUGAAGAUCCUCUUCAUAUUAAUCAGGGUGUUGGUAUUUUGCUCACAGUUAUUGGGAUAACUUCUUAUGCACAUGUGAAGCCUCAGAUACUGAAGAGAGGACAUUCUGUGCAAGGCUUGAUGUGGCUUCUCUGAUAGGAUCUUCUUCAAUGUUCCUGUAGGAUUCUUCAAGAAGAGUGGCCAUUUCAGAUUAAUUGUAAUGUAACCAAGUCAGUGUGUGAAAACAGUGUUCUGUAAUCAAGUUCCUAAGUGCAAGAAAUGUGCCUCCAAUUAAAAUCCAUAGAAGAAUGAAAGCUGUGUACAGCAUUGACUGUAUCGACCUCAGUAAUGUGUGAAGUUAGGUUGUUCAUGCUUUUAAUGAAUGAAACAGUGAUGCUAACCAUAACAUAUGUGACAGAGCUUGGAAUGUUUCCAAAACUUAAACAACAUCUUCAAGGACUUCACUUCAAUGGUGAUGAAGCAGU